CAGGAAAAAUGCAAGGGUUCUUUGAUAGAUAAAAUGAAGGAAACUUUCAGAUCAACAGCAACCCAGGUUGACUGAGUAUCACCAGUGUUUUGUAGGAGACUCAAUUUAUAGCAUUCUUCAUAAUAUUUUUGUGUCGCAUAUAGAUUUUCCUGUGAAAUUCCACAAAUGAUCACCCCUAAAACGAAUGCUCUCCAUUGCACUGGCCAUCUGGC
rnacentral:lncRNA from 1 species